AGAUACCCUUAAAUUAAUUCUGAGAAAUUCCUGUUUAUAAUAUCUGUAUUAUCAAAUUAGCCAUGGAAGAAGAGGAAAAAUUGUAGCUUGUCAUUUACCUGUCUCAAAGAAAACUGCUUAUUCAUCUGGUAACCACGCAGCUCUACCAACCAUGUCAAAAUCAUCUACCCAAGAUGCAGUAUGGACUAAUACAAAGUCAACCUGUGGUAGAAAUCAGAAGAACUGGACACAAGUCCUGAUGCUAUCUGAGAAUAGGCCUCUGUUAUUUGGGUCUUGUGUAACAAAGACAAUGGUAAAACACAAACGUAUUAGAAACAUUGUACACAGUGAAAUUAUACAACUCUGUAUAUUAGUGGUGGCAAGAGCAUGAAUUAUUAAAGAUAGCUAAAACUGACCUGAAGCAGUAACCUUUUAUCUAUAAAAACAAAACCAGAAUCCCCAUAAUUCCUCAAAAUAAAUGUGGGUUUCAGCCCAGCACAGUGGUGCAUACCUGUAAUCCCAGGGGCUUGGGAGGCUGAGGCAGGAGGAUCAUGAAUUCAAAGCCAGCCUCAACAAAAGCAGGGCACUAAGCAUUUCAGUGAGACCUUAUCUUUAAAUAAAAUACAAAAUAGGGCGGGGAUGUGGCUCAGUGGUUGAGUGCUCCUGAGUUCAGUCCCAGGGACCCCAAAACAAACAAACAAAUAAAUGUGGGUUUCCUUUUGGUUCUCUUCCCAACAAGACCCUGACCAGACUUGAUAGACCUAACUAUAUGCUGGCGAUUCUGUACUGACAUACCUUGAAGAAAUGUUCAUCAGGCCUGAGAAGUAAAGGCAGGGAAGAAGUCCUUGGAGUGUACCAGUUCACAUAAGAACAUCAGGUAAAGAUAGGCAAAUUAUGUGGCUGAUGAAAUUCUGUCCAGAGUGACAGUGAAAUGUUCUUUGUGAUCAAUCCAGCUCAUCAAAAGGUCAGGCAAAAUGUUUUGAAGAAACAAAUAAAUCAAGAGGACAUGGUGACUCCAGGAGAAAAUGAACCUACCAAAUGUUUGUGUAGGGAAACAGUUGCCAAGAAUAUAGGCAUUGAACAAGUCGUGGUGGUGCAUGCCUGUAAUCC
rnacentral:lncRNA from 1 species